UACGUAGGGGGCAAGCGUUGUCCGGAAUCAUUGGGCGUAAAGAGCGUGUAGGCGGUUUGGUAAGUCCGCUGUGAAAGUCAAGGGCUCAACCCUUGAAUGCCGGUGGAUACUGUCGAACUAGAGUCCGGAAGAGGCGAGUGGAAUUCCUGGUGUAGCGGUGAAAUGCGCAGAUAUCAGGAGGAACACCGAUGGCGAAGGCAGCUCGCUGGGACGGUACUGACGCUGAGACGCGAAAGCGUGGGGAGCAAACAGG
rnacentral:rRNA from 1 species